ensembl:lncRNA novel transcript
GUUGUGUAAAUAAGCACCUCACCCAUCUCAGUACUUCCCAAGCCACAGGACGGAGUGUGGGAGCGAAGCCCCUUCAUCAAAGCACCAGAAAGAUGUCAGCAGAAAAACAAACAGAUGGAACUUCGGACAGCCAAAUCCAGUGAGGUGUGAGCUAACCUCCCCACCCAGUCAUGUGCUUACACAUGGGAACAAAACCCAAGAGGGUGGCCAGCCUUCAGCCCAGUGCCCAGGGAUGAAACAUGGCCCAAGAAAUAACACCACCACCAUCAGCUGUCCAUGCUUCCACCUCAAGCACUGAGCAAGAUCCUCUGGCAAAUGACCUCACUGGGAGGUAAAGAGGAAAGCGCUAUUGUCAACUCCAUUCUUCAGAGUAUCUGAGCCCAAGGGACACUCCCGUGUGAUUUGGUCUCCCUAACCGCUCCCCUACCUCCCUUCAAGUUAAUGUUGGAGCUUCUCCAGGGCUGACUUGGGAGAGGAGCCGGCAGACCGGGCCAGUGCACCCUCUUGGCA